GGUAAUACUUACUGGAGGUCCGAACCCACGCACGUUGAAAAGUGCGGGGAUGAGGUGUGGGUAGCGGAGAAAUUCCAAUCGAACUUGGAGAUAGCUGGUUCUCUCCGAAAUAGCUUUAGGGCUAGCCUCGAGGUAAAGAGUCAUGGAGGUAGAGCACUGUUUGGACUAGGGGCCCUUCUCGGGUUACCGAAUUCAGAUAAACUCCGAAUGCCAUGUACUUAUACUCGGGAGUCAGACUGCGAGUGAUAAGAUCCGUAGUCGAAAGGGAAACAGCCCAGACCACCAGUUAAGGUCCCCAAAUAUAUGUUAAGUGGAAAAGGAUGUGGGGUUGCUUAGACAACCAGGAUGUUGGCUUAGAAGCAGCCACCAUUGAAAGAGUGCGUAAUAGCUCACUGGUCGAGUGACCCCGCGCCGAAAAUGUACCGGGGCUAAACAUAUUACCGAAACUGUGGAUGAACCUCUUUAGAGGUUCGUGGUAGGAGAGCGUUCUAAGGGCGGUGAAGUCAGACCGGAAGGACUGGUGGAGCGCUUAGAAGUGAGAAUGCCGGUAUGAGUAGCGAAAGAAGGGUGAGAAUCCCUUCCACCGAAUAUCUAAGGUUUCCUGAGGAAGGCUCGUCCGCUCAGGGUUAGUCGGGACCUAAGCCGAGGCCGAUAGGCGUAGGCGAUGGACAACAGGUAGAGAUUCCUGUACCAGUGCUAAUUGUUUAACCGAUGGGGUGACACAGAAGGAUAGGGAAUCGCACGAAUGGAAAUGUGCGUCCAAGCAGUGAGUGUGAGAAGUAGGCAAAUCCGCUUCUCGCGAAGCAUGAGCUGUGAUGGGGAAGGAAAUUAAGUACGGAAGUUCCUGAUUUCACGCUGUCAAGAAAAGCCUCUAGGAAGAGUAGUACUGCCCGUACCGCAAACCGACACAGGUAGAUGAGGAGAGAAUCCUAAGGUGAGCGAGAGAACUCUCGUUAAGGAACUCGGCAAAAUGACCCCGUAACUUCGGGAGAAGGGGUGCUCUAUUAGGGUGCAAGCCCGAGAGAGCCGCAGUGAAUAGGCCCAGGCGACUGUUUAGCAAAAACACAGGUCUCUGCAAAACCGUAAGGUGACGUAUAGGGGCUGACGCCUGCCCGGUGCUGGAAGGUUAAGAGGAGUGCUUAGCUUCGGCGAAGGUACGAAUUGAAGCCCCAGUAAACGGCGGCCGUAACUAUAACGGUCCUAAGGUAGCGAAAUUCCUUGUCGGGUAAGUUCCGACCCGCACGAAAGGCGCAACGAUCUGGGCACUGUCUCAACGAGAGACUCGGUGAAAUUAUAGUACCUGUGAAGAUGCAGGUUACCCGCGACAGGACGGAAAGACCCCGUGGAGCUUUACUGCAACCUGAUAUGGAAUGUUUGUACCGCUUGUACAGGAUAGGUAGGAGCCGAAGAGACGUGUGCGCUAGCAUACGAGGAGGCAAUGGUGGGAUACUACCCUGGCUGUAUGACCAUUCUAACCCGCCACGCUUAGCGCGUGGGGAGACAGUGUCAGGUGGGCAGUUUGACUGGGGCGGUCGCCUCCUAAAGAGUAACGGAGGCGCCCAAAGGUUCCCUCAGAAUGGAUGGAAAUCAUUCGCAGAGUGUAAAGGCACAAGGGAGCUUGACUGCGAGACUGACAAGUCGAGCAGGGACGAAAGUCGGGCUUAGUGAUCCGGUGGUUCCGCAUGGAAGGGCCAUCGCUCAACGGAUAAAAGCUACCCCGGGGAUAACAGGCUUAUCUCCCCCAAGAGUCCACAUCGACGGGGAGGUUUGGCACCUCGAUGUCGGCUCGUCGCAUCCUGGGGCUGUAGUCGGUCCCAAGGGUUGGGCUGUUCGCCCAUUAAAGCGGCACGCGAGCUGGGUUCAGAACGUCGUGAGACAGUUCGGUCCCUAUCCGUCGCGGGCGCAGGAAAUUUGAGAGGAGCUGUCCUUAGUACGAGAGGACCGGGAUGGACACACCGCUGGUGUACCAGUUGUUCCGCCAGGAGCAUCGCUGGGUAGCUAUGUGUGGCAGGGAUAAACGCUGAAAGCAUCUAAGCGUGAAGCCCCCCUCAAGAUGAGAUUUCCCAUUUCUUCGGAAAGUAAGAUCCCUGAAAGAUGAUCAGGUAGAUAGGUUUGGAGUGGAAGUGUAGCGAUACAUGGAGCGGACAAAUACUAAUCGAUCGAGGACUUAACCAAAA
rnacentral:rRNA from 1 species